rnacentral:pre_miRNA from 1 species
AGCUUUCUGUACCCCUGCUGAGAUUUCGUCACACAUCAGACCACAAGAGUUGAUGAGACUCCCAAGAUAAAUGAAGCG